rnacentral:rRNA from 1 species
UGGGGAAUAUUGCACAAUGGGGGAAACCCUGAUGCAGCAACGCCGCGUGAGUGAAGAAGGUUUUCGGAUCGUAAAGCUCUGUUGUAAGAGAAGAACGUGUGUGAGAGUGGAAAGUUCACACAGUGACGGUAACUUACCAGAAAGGGACGGCUAACUACGUGCCAG